GAUGAACGCUGGCGGCGUGCCUAAUACAUGCAAGUCGAGCGACCAGACGAGGAGCUUGCUCCUCUGACGUUAGCGGCGGACGAGUGAGUAACACGUGGAUAACCUACCUAUAAGACUGGGAUAACUUCGGGAAACCGGAUCUAAUACCGGAUAAUAUAUUGAACCGUAUGGUUCAAUAGUGAAAGACGGUUUUGCUGUCACUUAUAGAUGGAUCCGCGCCGCAUUAGCUAGUUGGUAAGGUAACGGCUUACCAAGGCGACGAUGCGUAGCCGACCUGAGAGGGCGAUCGGCCACACUGGAACUGAGACACGGUCCAGACUCCUACGGGAGGCAGCAGUAGGGAAUUUUGCGCAAUGGGCGAAAGCCUGACGGAGCAACGCCGCGUGAGUGAUGAAGGUCUUCGGAUCGUAAAACUCUGUUAUUAGGGAAGAACAAAUGUGUAAGUAACUAUGCACGUCUUGACGGUACCGAAUCAGAAAGCCACGGCUAACUACGUG
rnacentral:rRNA from 1 species